GGGCCUGUAGCUCAGUGGAUAGAGCGUCUGCCUCCGGAGCAGAAGGUCGUGGGUUCGAGUCCCAUUAGGCCCA
rnacentral:tRNA from 1 species